ACGGAGUCUUGCUCUGUCGCCCAGGCUGGAAUGCAGUGGUGUGAUUCAGCUCACUGCAAGCUCCGCCUCCCGGGUUCACCCUGUUCUCCCAUCUCAGCCUCCCGAGUAGCUGGGACUAUAGGUGCCCACCACCAUGCCUGGCUAAUUUUAUUUUUGUAUUUUUAGUAGAGACGGGUUUCACCGUGUUAGCCAGGAUGGUCUCGAUCUCCUGACCUCGUGAUCCGCCCACCUCGGCCUCUCAAAGUGCUGGGAUUACAGACGUGAGCCACCGCGCCCAACCACCGUGUUCUCUUAAUUUCACCUCAGUUUUAAGUAAAAGAUGGGCAUACAAAUCAGAAGGAAUUGCCAGUGCCAUGUUAUGCCCUACAUUGAUCUAGAACCAGGUAAUUCUAAUUUGCAGACAGGAUUAAGAACCACUGGACCAGACAUUCUCAAAGACAAAGCAGCAUUGCUUUCCCCAGGGAGAAGUCACACAAAUAGCAGAGAAACAGCAGGGAGCACAGGAAGUGGCUGGCAUGGAGUACAACUCACUCCUGUUUUAGACGGGCUGUUCUGGCCUCACAUCAGAAUGCUGGCUAAUCACAAUUCCUCAUGUGGAGAAAGCAACCCAGAGACUAUACGAUGUUGCUCCUCUACCCACA
ensembl:lincRNA